UUCAGAUAUUUCACAAAUAUAAUGUCUGGAAAUUUUCCCUCUCUCAAUACCGAACCUGAGUCCAACUAGCAUAUGUUUUUUAUGAAAUUCCUUGUUGAUUAUAAUGAUCCGAUGCUGGUAUAUGGGAAGUUGAAAGCUGUAUGCAAUCAUCACACAUUUAAAUACUUGACCAAUAAGCUGCCACUUUGAUUAUUGUAACCCCACAUUUCUUUAUAUUUUUAUUGUAUCACAUAUUUCCAAUUUCAUAGCCAAAGAUGUUGGUUGAUUUCCUGAUCAUCAUUUUUUUUUUUGGGCAGUGUUUCAGGGGGACUUGACAAUGAGAAUAGCAAUGACUCAUCUCAGAUGAAUGAACCAACGCUCCUAGAUUGUCCAUCCUUCGGGACUGAGAUUACAGUGGAGUGUCCUGCAGGAGUUACUGAUCAUGAGCAAGUUGAGGACAAUAAAAGAAAUGACAUUAUCAAAUGCUACAAGCGAAGGAGAAUAUCAGCCUGCUGAAGAUUGCUCCUCGAAGAAAUUUGCUAGUUAUCAAACAGAUACUUUAUUUAGGAUGAGGGAAUCGAGAUAUUUUGGAGCUAUAGGUAAUCGCGCUGUAGAUAGGUUUUAAGGUUGCCUCUUGAAAUCUAUUUUAGUCCUAAAGGACUUGUAUAUAGUGGGAGGGAGCUGGUGGCUUGUGUUUGUUUAUGCUGGUUUUGGAUUUCUUUCUGUGUGCACAUAUUAGUGUGAAGUAUGUGACACAGAUUUAUUUAUGUGUUCAAUAACUGAAACAGGAGCUUGAUGCUAAUAAUAUGUUUGUGGGUGCAUAAGUUUAACAA